UAACCCUUAGGCCUCUUGGCCUUCCUCUCCUCUCUAUCCUGAUGGUGAGCCAUCUCAAUAUCACGAGCAAUAUGAACUACAUGCUUGAAGGAAAUACCCAUAACUCUCUCUCGAGUCAUCAGAAUACGAAGGUGAUAGUUAAGACCAUCCACAAACCUCUUGAUUCUCUCCCCAUUAGUAGGAACUAUCCAGGAGGGAUGACAAUCCAACUUAGAAAACCUCACCUCAUACUAGGACACAAUCA
rnacentral:lncRNA from 1 species